UAAGGACUGGUCAGCAGAUUGGUCAGGUGUUUGGGUCCAGGGUGGAAUCACUUAUGUCAUGUGGUCAGCUUUCAUCUGAAACUCAUUGACUGAAGCUUGCCAUGUGGAUUGUUAGCUUGUUACAGAUCCUGUUGCCAAUUCACUCCCUUCGAGGCCCCAUUGCCUUGUGUCUUCAUUUCUGGGGUCUGGAGGGUAGGACCCAAACCAAUGGCUUCGAGUGACAAGUAAGGAGAGUCUGACUCAACACCAGGAAGAACUUUCUGACGGGCAACCUGUGACAGGCAGCAACAUCUCAUGCCUCAAUUUUCAAGUAUUCUUUGACCGAUGAGGAAUGAAACCAGGAUUCCGCCCAAGGCCUGAAACCGCCAAAGUUGUGACGUUUUGCUACGGGAAAGGCAAAACCUGCCAAUGCAGGAAAAAUUCAUUUCCGGCCCUUCAACAGUGAUCUUGACGUAGCAGUGCCUGCGUACCUGUGGAGAAGAGGUUAACCUGCAAAAGAAGAUUUAAUUGAGGGAGUGGAGGGUGGGAGAAGCUCUGGAGCCGACUGCCACUUCCCAGGCCUGGAAGAUAUCUCCAUUCAGACAUUCAUGACUAUCUGCAUUAAGAGGAGUACAAGUGCAGAGAAGGAAUACACAGAAGGAAUUCCAAAACCAAUGUCCCACGAGCUCCCCACUGCUUUGGUACACAGUGUUGUGUAAGCACAUUGUUUUGCACAGGGGAGGGACUGUAUUGCAGCCAAGGUUAUUUUCGUUAGACGUAUUUCUUCUUUUCUUCAUGCAUGGGAAAUGGUAGAAUAGAGAAUAGAAACAUUCCAGAGUAAUUAAAAUCUGAAAUGAAUUAUUCAAUUCAGUUAAAAAUGAAAGGAAUUAUUUAAAUGGUUAAGUGCAUUGUCUUAUAUUUCAGCGACACUGACUUUGCAUUUAAAUUUCAAAUAUUCGUUGAAUAGAGGCACUGUUACAAGCUUAUAAAUUAAAGUUCUCUUAAAAAAAUAUUAAUGCACUUUUCUAACUUUAUCCUUAAGAUGCCAUUGGGUAAAUAGAUGAGUAAAGAAUCUAUGAUACUGCCAAAAAAAGAAGAGUCAAGCAAAGAAAAAAGAAUUACAGUGGCUUGGAUUGCACACCCUGCUAAGCAACAACAUGAAAGUAUUGCGCUCUUGGAAAGGAGAUCACGAUGUUUUACUCCUCCACUGUCAUAUUGUUCCUUUGCUGUGCUGUUCUAAGCUGAACCAUGCUUUGGCUUAUUGGUUAGUCUGCAGAAAGCUGAAGUGCGAGUUUGAAUUUGGAUGACACACUAAGCCAAACCAUGGCUUAGCUCAGGCAUCCCCAAACUGCGGCCCUCCAGAUGUUUUGGCCUACAAAUCCCAUGAUCCCUAAGUAACAGGACCAGUGGUCAGGGAUGAUGGGAAUUGUAGUCCAAAACAUCUGGAGGGCCAAAGUUUGGGGAUGCCUGGCUUAGCUCAUUAUACCACAACAGCAAAAUGGCAGAGGAGGAGUGAAACAGCUGUGAUCUCCUCUCCUGAAGCUCGCAUGGUCCCAUUCACAGGAUAAGCCAUGGUUUGGCUGCCCGUUGACACAAUAUAGAGCAGUGCUUAUAGCUGUGUGUAGCUUGCAUGGCAAAUAAGGUAACACCCCCCUCAGUAUUGGUACAUCUUUUAAUUUUGAAAAAAGAAAAGUACAGAUUUAUUUAUUUGGGACCUUUCAUUCUUCAUACUUUAUAUGCAUCUUUUAAAUGGGGCAUUCUGUUUACCAGAUGAAUUGCCUGAUUAUUUUUUACUUUCAUGCUUAUUAGAAUAUAUUUAAGGGCAAGUGCCACAGUUUGUGGAUUCAGGUUCUGCAUGCUAUGUUCAUUGCCUCCAGUUAGAUGGAACCUGUGCGGAUAAGGGAACAGCUGGUCGGAGUACACAAUACAGGGCAAGAAGAACCAAUAGGAAAGAAUGUCGGGAAUGAUGGGAAUUGUAGCCCAAAGCAUCUGGAAAGCACCAAGUUGGGGAAAGGCUGUCUCUGUCCUGUUCUACCCUGUGAAACUAGAGCAACUAUAGCCUAAGAGUCAUUAUCUGUCAAUAGUUUUCAGCACUUUAUUUCCCUAUACUAGAAAUAUCAAGGAAAUUCUAAUUGGAUCAAUUUUACCCAACCUUCAUGAAAUCAUAGAAACAUUUCUCCAAAAGAAUCAGCGUUGGAAGGGACCCUGAGAAUCGUCUAGUCCAACCCACUGCAAUGCAGGAAUCUCAGCUAAGGCAUCUAUGACAGAUGGCCACCCAACCUCUGCUAAAAACACCUCCAAGGAAGGAGAGUCCACAACCUCCCGAGGGAGACCGUCCCACUGCGGAACAGCUCUUACGAUCAGAAUUUUUUUCCUGAUGUUUAGUCAGAAUCUCUUUUCUUGUAACUUGAAGCCAUUGGUUCGAGUCCUACGCUCAAACAAUUACAUUUGGGGGGGGUUAGGAGAAAAGAAAGAGGUUGUGAUAUUGUCACUGUUAAAGGUGAGCCCAGUCCCGAAAAAACUGAUGGAGAACUUCAUCUGUCCCUGGAAAAAGCUGUGGUGAAAUGGCUCUCCCUGUUUCUCUGCCUACAAAUAGGGUGGAGCAUUUUAAGAGGCUAUUUCUGCAGAGUUCUAUUCCACACAUUUGACAAGUUCACAACCUAAAUUUCAAAUAUGGUAACAAAAGGGAAGUGAAGGAAGUAGAAGGAGUGGGGAGGGGAAGGGUAACAAGGGUUGUAGAGGAACAAAUGCUGGAGAAGGAUUGCCUAUGGGAAUAAACCAAAAUCUUCAUCAAAUAUGUCUCUUUUGAGGGAGGAUAAUAUAGUCUUGCCUUUCCUUGAAAAAGGUGGGGCUCAGGCUCUGUGUGCAAAAAUCACCCAUCAGUCUAUGCAGCAUAUUACGUAUGUGUGUGUGGCAUCACACCACUGCUGUCGCAGUGAGAUCAAAGACGGGGAAAGCUUCCAAUCCUUCUCGCACCAUGGCACAAAGGCGUGAAACCUUUUCACCCUUCCUUGCCCUCACCAUCAAUGUUUUGGGUACUUGGGUCACAUAAAAUGUAGUCAUUUCUAAGGUGGCUAUUGCGGCAAAGUGAUUUUUUCUUGGCAGGGGCACCAAUGCAGUUCUUUGCCAAGGUACACCUUUGAUUCAAGAUGUAAAAAAAAAUGAGCUCAUUCCAGUUCACAUUGACCUCUUUACAAAAUGAACUAGUUCGGUAUGGAUUCAGUUCCCACUCCAUCCAAACGAUCCUUGGCAACUUUCCUCCCAGCAUUCAGAAAGUUACAGUGAGCUUUGUAGGAUUGGAGUUAUGAAAACAAUGCAUUGACCAGUUUUAAAGCUCUAAGAUGAGAUCCCUAAACCCAAAUUGCUUUUAGCUAAUAGAACAGAAGUUUUCACUGCCUGAUUUUUAAGCACAUAAAAAUGAAAACAGUAAUAUUUUAGUGAAGGGGUAAAAAAACUACAGCGAGUGGAAUCCAAACAUUCCUUUCCUCUGAUGAAUGGAGUCUUACCAUCAAAAGAAGACUCCUGUCAGAGAAAGGGAACCUCUGAAUCCAACCCUCUGUUUACACAGUUUGUGGGAGAACAGCUAUCUAAAGUUAAAACCUCUCAUUUAGAACUUCGUUUAAAAUGUUCUAUUUGUAAACAUCUACUUUUGCAGCCAACAAUUAAUCCAUAUAGAGGAGCACAUAAAUAACAGACAAUCAGCUUCCCGCUACAAUAGAAAGGCAAAUAUAUAUGUUCUAGACAAAACUAAAGACGUGAACAUCUAGGCUGUUUUCUGCAAGAACAAUAGAAAUAAGUAAGCAGCUAAUUCCUACCAAUGUUCGUAUUCAACUUCCAACUCCCCAAUUUGGAAAAGCAACCCCCCCCAUGUCUCUUUAUUCAAAAUUAUAAAAAUUGUAUUUCUUCAAAAAGCAUUGUUCAAGCAUCUGUUUCUCUUGCCUUGCACCUUCCAAAGAAAUAGCUGAAAGCCUAAAAUGAGAAGUAUUGCAUCACUUUUUUUCUAUUAAGAUGAGUGUGAUGCCCCUAAACAUAUGGAUUAGAUAUUAAAUCAUAUCCACAAGUAUGAGGAAAAUAUUAGUGUGGCAGAAAUUAGUAGAACAAUAUAGACAGGACACUAAUGUACUUAAUUAUAACUUUUUAUACGAAGGAACGAACUAUACAUGACACUAAAUGCAGUGCUGCCAAUCCCCGAUUAUUUAACAGUAAACAUAUGGAGAGGAGGCCGAUUUAAUCAGCACACAAGGAAAGGAGGUUCUAACCCUUCUUUUCCCAGGCUGUACUGCUAUUAGUCUGAAUAAAGAUCUCAUCGUUACUUACAAGUAAGAGCCACUCUUGGCUUUUGGGCAGAAGCCUGGCAAUUUUUACUGUUUGGUUUUUGGAAAAAUAUCACAUGAAAUAAGCUACCAACUUUCAAAUUCAUAAUUAAAUCCUUAUCAGAUAAAUAUUUUCAAAUACCAAAGAAAUACUAUUAACUUUCACCUGUUAAUUACAGCCAAAUUGCUUAGUGCAACUGCAUGUCUGCUGUAAAAUUCUACAUACCAUUGCAUGUCAAUUGUCACUGCACAGCAUCUGGUAAGUACUGUCAAAAACCAAAUGCUAUUCAUGCCAAAUAUCAAAUGCAUUUAAAUACUAAAUAACAAUUGUGUUUAAAUAAUCCAUUUACGUGGAUAAAACAUCAAGUUUAAUGUAAAUAAAUAUCAGGUGUCAAAAAGUGAUGUUAGACAACAAAUAUUUGCAUGAGGGGACUGCUCAAUAGCUUCCGGUGGGCGGCAUGUGGAAGCAGUAAUGGCCACUUACUGCCCUUUCAGGUGAGUGGCGGUUACAGCCCGACACAGCACCUCCUCUCCUUCCUGGCAUGCCACACCACCUUUCCCUGCCUCCCUGUCCCCCUCAGCUACUGUGGAGGCUCACGGGUUCCCGCCAAAACCCAUCUAUUCAAACGGGUCAAUCCGCGGCAGCCCAGGGGAGUGAGGCGGGGCAAGCAGACCUAAGGGAGGCAGGCUUCUCUCAGGUCUGCCCGCCAUCUAUUUAGCUCAGCCGACCCCCAAGCGCAGCACCCAGUUGGCUGGGAGCAUCAUCUAUGUAGGGCUAGUGGGCCAUAGAGCUUCUCUCAGCAUUUGGGGUCACCUGCAUAAACCUGCGUUUUGCAAUGGAUCCACCCCUGAAUAGACCCUGUCAUGCCUCAGUCCUCCAGCAGGGGGACUGAGCGGGAUACACGCCCAAUGCCUAUGCUAAGGCUUCGUACAUCUGAAAUCAAUGAAGUUGUGGCCAUUUCAAAUCCCAGACAGUUGUCACGUCCAUUCGUGCGCUGGGUUUGGGGGCUGUGCGGCUGGGCACACAAUUUGAAUUGGCUGCAAAUGCAUUAACUAUUUCCCUCCCUGAAUUUCAGUAACAAAUUGCACUAAAUGUAUCCGGUCUGUAUCCACAUAAUACAAGUCCCUGACCGUAACAACAAAUUAUGUGUAUGAAUUAUUUGGGCAAAACAUUUCACACUACUUAAACACCUCCACACACUCUUCUCCUACAUGCACAAUUUUGUUUUCUUUUAAUCGGCAGAUGUGAACAGAGGGCUGGUGGAACUCAACUUGCCUGUUUCAUUCCCCCUGCUGUUUCAUUUCCCCUCCUAGUAAGACAUACUACCCCCUAAGUCAGCAAUUCUGCUGUGUACAAGGGUGCUAUAAUGUACACAGAGUGCUAAGCAUAACCAAGAGCUAUUUCAUUAGCUUCAGUGUUAGGGACAAGGCCACAGGAGCAAUUCCCAAGUCUAUUUCAGUUUUUUAAAGUUCUCUCCUCUUGCUAUUUUGCAGCCAGUUAUAAUGUUAUGCUUAAGGCAACUGAAAGAACCUCCCAUUGGUUCCCAUGAGUUUUCAGUUCCGGCUUUUCAGAGCUUCUCUCAUGCUUUGACUUGUCACAACAAUAUUUUAAAUUAAUAUUUUAAAAGGUGUUGGAUAUCUGUUUCAGAAAUAGCCAAAGUUGCUGGGAGGGAAGUCCAUAUACAUGGAAGAGCAAGCUUUGCCAGUAGCUUCGCUAUAAGCGACACUGAUGAAAUCAGGCAGCUGUAGCCAUCAGCUCUGGUAUACUUUUACUUCUGGGAUUAUGCUUUCCAAGUCAUGGGAGCAUUCCUGCAAUUUGCUCUAAAACUAUAACAUGUAAAUCCAUGUCUGGAUGUUACAAUAAACCAUAGUUUACCACCCUGAUCUUCCGCAUUCCAGGGGAUCAUGUCCUCCCCUUCUCUCUCCUCUUCUAAUAUAGCCAUGGGGAUGUUCUUUUGAGAUUUAUCACAACUUGCCAUAUCAACUGAACCACGAAACCUUAUACCCAGAACAAACUUAGCUGGUCUUUAAGGUGCUACUGGACAAUAUUUUUUUAAAAAAAUAUUUAUUUUGAUUCCUUCAGACCAAC